CAGGCAGACGGCUACGGAAAAGAGAUACAAAAAAAGGUAUAUAUUAUCCGUUAAUACGUAUCUUAUUUAUUAAAAGUAAAAAUAAAAUAUUCAACUUGGUAUUCCAAACCAUAACACUGUCAGAGCGUCCCCACUAUCCGUAUGUUUUAUCACGAAAGCACAUCUCAGCUUACUGCAAAAUAACAGCUCUGGUGAAUUUUAAAGUGUGAAAACCGAUUUGAUGACUUUUUUUAUAUAUUUUUUUCGAAUAGUCAGGCAAACUUGCUUAAGCAAUAAAUAAAUAAAUGCAUAUUUCAAAUGUAAGAAGAAAUUGCUGAAAUUGGACGCAAUGGUACAAAUAGGUGUCUACUCCUUAGGAAAUCUUUUCCUGGGUUUUGUGGAGACACAAGUAAUUGCUAUUGGUCUCUUAUACUCACUAGGUAGAGGUAGCGUAUUUUAUUUUGCUUUAAAUGUAUACUCUAAGGACCAAAGCAACUUUAGCUCAUUGAAGCAGUGUUGGUGUAUAGAAUACGCCCUUGCAGUUUCUUUGCUCAAUUCUCUGCUCUUUAGGAGUCAAAUGACUUUAUUUAUGCUGCCCUAGCUACACCUCCUCUAGCUGAGAUUUACACACUUUCUUCCUACACACUUCAUGGAAAAGGGGUCUAAUUUUUUAAGGAAAACUUGUAGCAGAUCUCCUAUACUCUGAUCGUGUAUCUGCGCUGGGCGCUUCUCCAUAUUUCCCAGAAGGCGAAAGGGAUUGUAGCUCUAACCCAAACAUCAGCCUAGACUUGAUGAAGGAUUAAAAGUAAUGUUUACUGAUAAAAGUACAGGGUUUUAUACACAGACCCCCAGCCUGGCAUCUCCAUUCAAAGUACAGUAAUCCUGCCCAGGCGCCUCUAUGUCUGGGAAAGAAGCAGGCAGUUGACAUAAAUAACGCCAAAAUACAGUGUACAAAUAUUACACACAACAUUUUUUAAUGUCUGCUAUAUUGGGUUACAAUUAAGAAGUGACAUAUUUAUGGAAUGGGAAAUAAUAACAAAUGCGUAGAUGCAAUUAUUAUUUCUGUAGCAGGUUCAUAAGAGAAGAUAGAAGCAAACGUUUCCAUUUGGAUUGAUGUGAGUCUGGACACAAGGGGUGGUCACAUAGUGUCUCUAUAGAUAUUCCUUAACUCCACCUCUGGCUGAGGCGUGGUAAUCCACAGGUUACAUCUCUAAUGAUCCUGAAGGGUGCAUUGUACUUGCUUGGGGCCAGAAUCUAAUUCUAAGUAAGUCACCAUUUUUCUUACCAGAGACCCCCUGGGGCAGAAGUGUUAUUUUGAAAAAUUGAUUAGAACUGUUAUGUUAUCCCUUUUGGUUUUUAUCUGUUGUUGGUGUCAAUCAUUUUGAUUGUCAUCUAUAUCUUUGUAUGCACUGUGACUAUUUUUUGCUCAUAAUAAAUAUUUUUUUAUUACGUUCUGCCUUUGUCUGGUAAAGAAUCACAUUACCUGAAGGGACUAAUUUGUAUUUUUGCAAUUCCUUAAAUAUUGGGCUAAGUGGUAUUUGGUGGGUUUUAUUAUUGAUUUACCUGGGGGACCAAGGCACCCCAUUUAUAAAUUGUCUUGGUGGUGGCAGCAUUCAAAUAGUAAUAUUUAUAUUAUUAUGUUUAAGUGUGGGUGGUGUUAAAGGGGGAUUUUGUCAUUAUUUCCUGUCUAGUGCAGACAGAUAGUGAACUUUAACCCUUUCACCACCACAACUACGUCACGCACACUCCUGAAGUAGGGUGUGUUCGUGACAAUCUAUACACCAAAACCACCUCAAAAGCAUGGAUUGAGUUUGUUGGAAAUCAGAACUGAAAUACUAAAACUCUAUACAUUGAGACAACCUUAUCCCAUAAGGUUGUCUCACCUUUAGUUGCUUGUAUGCAUCCCUGUUUUAAAAGGAACACACCAGAAACAAAAAUACUUCAUCUGAAAGGGGCGGAGCCUGGCUCUCAGACUGAUCAGACAUUCAGAGCACGAGCUCAUGAAUACCUAGCAGAUUUUGGGGUGCUAAUCUCAACCAGGGGUACAUCCUGCUUCUACUGUGUACUCUGUGGAUAGAGGUCACUCCUACGUCCACGCAGAUACUCCACUGGGAGUUCAAGCAGUCCGGUUGUGGCCUACUAAAGACUGGCCUGGGAAGAGGCUGACGAUCUCCCUGCUUCGUGAAUCUUAAAGCAGUAACCACUGUGCUCCUAAACCCACCUCACCCCCCUUUGGGACCGGUGGGGGUUAUCCCGGUCCUCCACUAGACUGUCCUCAGCGGUCUCUACCGCACUACUCUUGUGCCCACAGGACAUGAUUCAGCUUGCCUGGUUGCCCAAGAUGGCAUCUACCCCACUCACUGACAAGUGGAGCAUGGGCCCAUCGCAGCUAUCUAACAGCCGCUCUGUUGAUUAUAUAUUAUCGCACUUCCAUGACAUCUUCAAUCAUUUUUGGCUGAAAACUCCGACUGCAUCACUGCCUCAGCCUUUGAAGGUCGUCCGGAGUCACACAGAGCCAAAGAAGAGGGGAUCCCCUUGGAGCAUAACUACUGGGCAUUCUCUCCCUCAAGCUACCAACUGCCAUCCUGGGCUGAGAUCACCCAAGGCAAUGUCCUCCGUCAUCGUCCACGCAAGCUAAAGACGUAGAAUAUCCGGAUGGUAAGCGCUGUUAUCUUCUGCAUCUCCCAGCAAAGGGAAAGGCUUGGUACUCUCUAGCUCCCUGAUCUGUGGUUAUCGAAUACUGGCUCCCUGCCUGGCCUUGUGCUGGAGAUGAUCCCUGCCCUGGCACUACACUAUACACAAAAAGCUGAAUUCUUCGAACUGCACCCUACUCCUGCCACUAACAGGGAUCGGCUAAGUGGAGAUCCAUGCUCAUCAUCUGCACAGUAUGCUUGUUUUUAUCUUGUUUUUUUUGGUCUUUCUUUUUGUGUCCCUUAUUCCUUACCUUUUACAUAUGCUUUGAUUGGUGCAGGGGUGGAGUCCCAUCGUAUGGUCCCAGUGGAUGCAGUAUGUGAAGACCUGUGUUUCCAUAUGUUUUCCUCUACCUAUUUACUAUUCACCAUGUCUUACCUCCAGUAUGCUUUACCAUUUCUCUAUAUUACUAGACAUGACUGAGCAGUGUGUUAGAAUCUAUUAUUAAUAUAAAAAGUACAGUUCUACUCUUGAUUUCUCACAUGACAAUGUUAUUUCCCCUAUUGUAUAUUAUCUUGUGAAAUGUCUCUGCAAACAUUCUUGUUAAACUAUGCACUACAAAAAUAAAGAUUAUAAAAAAAGACAAUUUAGAAAAGUGCUGGUUUCGAUAAAACUUAUAAGACAUGGUUGCUGUUAGUCAAUCAACUAGGGAAAUUUUCUCUCUCUCGCUCCACAAAGCUAAUGGAAGUGGCAGACGCUCUGGGCUUCAGACUAUUGUACUAAAACUCAUUGAGAAGCAUUGGAAAUCUGCUACUCUGUGUGGGCUGCUCUAGCACAGAGGCUUCUCAGUGAGAGGCCCUGGACUAGUCAAAGAACAUUCUUGUACAGUCUGCAGACAACAGCUCUGUUGCUGUCACAUGCUGGUUUUUCAUAUACCACCAAAGAAACUUGCAGAAGGGUAUAUGCAUGUUUUCUUUGGGGAUAUAUCUACUAAGUAGUGUGAAAAGUCAAUAUAGCGUUCUUUUAAUUACCAUGAGGUUUGUGAAUUUAAAACAAGCAGUUUGCUUUGCUUAACAUAUCACUUAAAUGACUUUUAAUGUAAUUAUUGUUCAUGUCUGUUCAUUAUUUUAAUUUAGUAGGAAUUAAUAUUAAAAAUAAUAUACUGGUUAAAGAUAGAAGUUCAUAUAACUUUUAUGUGAAACCCAAAUAUAAAGGUAAAAACAUUACAAAUAGAAGUCAUCCUUUUUCUGGGUAAAGAAUGUCGUAAGUAGAUAUAUUUGCACAUCCAUAUGAAAUUGCAGGUUUUUGAAAUUUUAAAGUCAGAAAUUACAACUAUGUAAAUGUCAGACUUUUCCAUCUGUAAUCUGAUCUUCCAACAAACAAAUAUCCAGAGUAAAAACAAAUAGUUAAUUAUUAGGAGCUUUUUAAAUAAAAAAUAAAACCUACAGCACAUUGAUUGCAUGUCUAUACACCACAUCAUAAUGGGCACUCCAGCUGUGUUCAGAGUUACGCUGUCACAUUCUAAAUAAGGACAGUAGGUAAAUAUCGUACACCUGCCAUUAGGGACAGUGAUUCUAAUUAAACUCUAAUUAAAGUUCGCUGCUGCUGUAAGAUUUGCUUGAAUGUUUGUGGUUGCAUCCCAGUGGUAAAAAAGAUUAAUUUGGUCACUUCUAACCAUGCGGUAAAAUAGGAUAUGGCAUAGCAAGAUGUUGAACUUUUAAGCCUACAUUGUUCAAGAAAUGUUUGUCACAAAAUCAAUAAACCUCUCAUGGACAUCAUGAUUUGGGGCUGCUUCCCUUCAGCUGAGUCGAGAGCUCUCAUCAAGAUAGGAUAAUGAAUAGCUCAAGAUAUUUUAUCACAAAACCUUUCCUCUGUCAAAAAGAUGAUGAGGAAUUUCACAUUCCAUCAUGACAAUGACCUAAACUCUUGGAAUUGCAGACCACACACCCAUGGAAAUCCUGCAAAAUUACCAAAACAGACCUGUACACAGAAGACCACUUCACAAUUUGAAUGAACUUUUUCCAAAGGAGAUACAAUUGAUAAUAGAGACUUGCUAACUGUAAUAAAUAUGGAGCCUUGUACAGUCAGAGUGCUGUAGUUGUCUUGUUGUUGAAAAUGUUCCUAACAAUUUCGUUUUUAUUUCUGAAUAUUUAUUUUUUGAAAGUUCACAUCAAAAAUCGAAAAGAGUCUGAUAUUUACAUUUUUUCUGCCUUUACAUUUUGAAAACCUGCAAUUUCACGACAAUGUGUAGACCAAAAAAGAUGCGUUAAACCAGUGGACGUCUACGAAGAGAUGCUGAGCUUGGUUCAGCUUCUCAGUGCCUUGCUCAAUUCUUUUAAGAAGGAAUGUUGCACACUUUAUAGAUGUCAUGCUAACACAGACUGUUGUAGACCUAAACAGGUUAAUCAUGUUUCCAUGCGUUUAUUUUAAUGUAAAUUGGCAAUUUUACAUUGGAAAUAAACAUGCAUUUUGUGUACUUCACUUCACACGUAGAAUAAAAUCCAAGUGUGAGCCGAACUUGUAUUGACUUAGUUACAAGGUUCUUGCCUGUUAUGUCCCAUGUGUAUAGGUGCAUAGCUUUCAAUAAUAUAAUUUGGAGCAAUAAAAAUGAACAAUGCAAUAUACAUAAGGUCAUGCAGUGAUGCCUCCGCAUUGUGUUACAAGCAGAACAAAUCAUAAACCUCAAAGGAGCCAAUAUUUGCAUCCAAUCUUGAUUUAUUAAAGCAUUAAUCCUCCUUUAUAGAUUCAUUUAAUUUAAUAAUUGAUUUUGUUGCCUAAAAAUUAAAUCAGCUAACAUAAUAUAUAAGUUAAUGUGUAAUUCAUGGUAAGGUGCAUCUUCUUAAACUCUGCCAUCUAUAGUCCUAAAAACUAAUUUUGGGGACAUUUAUCUUUCUGUUACUUUAAGAUGCAUACAACAUUAAGUUGUUAUUCUGUGCCAAGUAAAGGAAAUCUAUACACUUUGCUAAAUGAAAACGCAGCAGAUGUAGAAUAAAGAGAAAGUUGGUUUAAAGUCCCUCGGUGACAUCAUUGGCCCAGCUGCUUUAUUGAAAAUUUCCUGUUAUAGAGCGUGACUUGCAUGUUCUAUUUGCAGAUAUGAUGCCACAGAGGGAUUCGUUCAUUUAAUUAGUAAGUUAUGCAUUGCUAGCUAUAAUACAGGGUGUUUCAAAAUUAUGGACCCAAAUUCAAAGAAAUAUUUUUCACAAUGGCAACAUGUGAUUACACCAAAUGUUACAAAUGGUUGAAUGAGUUAUCAAGUUUUCCUAACCAUUUUAUAAAUGCUCCAUAUGCCCUCCAGCUGAUGUUGACCGUACUUUGUCAUCCCAAACGGCUCUCAAAGUGACUUCUUUCAAUGAAGUCACAUUGCCGUGAUUCUGUUUUUUUGAGCUCAUCAAGAUUAGUCGUAAAAAUUGCACAAAAACACAUUCUUUGACGUAUCACACAAGAAAAAAGUCCCAGGGUGUAAUGUCUGGAGAUCUUGCGGGCCAAUAGUGUAGCACCAAGUCUUGGGGUCCCAUGUGACCUAUAAACAUUAAGGCAGUGUGUCCUUUAAAAAAAACUUUUAACCUGAACUCAAAACCUGAAUUAGCAGAGGGCGUAAUGAGGUGGCACGCCGGAAGGGGUGGGGGUGUGGCCGCGCGCUGAGUGAAGAGUGCGGGAGAAUGGCGUCCUAUGCUGACAGCCUUUUUGUAAGACUUGUGUGAACCAGUGCAUACAGCAGUCGGUCAACCUUCGAGUGCCAGACCGCCAAACGACCACUUUGAAUUUCUAGAGAGGAGUCCUGGGAUGGAAGAUUGUAAUACUCGUAUUGAAAAGAAGCUCUUCCUUUCAAACAAUAAGCAGUAAAAAUACACUGGAUGGGUGCCUAACACGCCAAUGGGAGCCAUUACUGCACAUUUUUCUUGUGGAAAAAUUAAGUCAUCAAAAUCUUUAUUAAGAUGUGGAAAGAGACAGUUCUGCAACAUUUCGAGAUACGUUUGCACAAAACACGUUUGCUUUCGGGGAAUUAUGGUUAUUCGCUACAGCUUUGCAUGGAUUCCAUAAUCUCCAUAGGUGCACAUUUUGACAGUUAACUUCACCUCUUAGAUGAAAUGUUGCGUCAUCAUUAAAAAUCAAACCCGAUAAGAGGGGGUUGUCCUCCAUGUUCUUUAACAUUGCAUCACUAAAUUCUACACACUUUCCUUUGCUUCCUGCAUGAAGAGCCUUUGCCUGUUGCAACCGGUAUGGCUUCAUGAUUAAACGUCGCCUUAACACACGUCAGACAAUUAUGAGAGAUUGCAAGUUCUUAGCUGGCGAAAAGUGGAAUGGCUUUGGCUAUACUGAAAACUCUCUUUAAUUCUUCUCAUGUUUUCCUCUAAAGUGUGUGGUCGCCCUGUGCUCUACCCCAUCCGUAAACAUUCUGUUAACUCAAAUUGUCGGUACCAAUGGCGAAUGCUCUUUCGCAUUGCCGGAUCAAUGUCAAAACACCAUUCUCACAUACACACACACUGCUUUGCAAUCACAAAUUCAGACUUACUAAACUUAAGAAUGCAAAACGCCUUGUGUUUUGGGUUCACCAUCUUGCUAAUGUCUAAGGCUAGGGACUGUUUGUGCACUGGGAGAGGAGGCAUCUAGUGGUAAUCAUUUUAAACUCUAUGCCCCACCCUUUCAAGUGGUAAGCAUUUCUGUUCCAUCCUUUUAAAAUACCCUGUACCAAAAAGUAUGUGGUUUUUUUUUUUGUUUAAGUUCUUAGGGUGUUUUUUUGGGGGGGGAGGUAGGGGGGCAAAACAGGUUGUUGUAGUGUCCAAGUCCUCAUAAAGUUAUUGUUGUGGUUUUAAUUUUUCACUUAUUUUUUCUGGUUUAUUAAUAAUUUAGUGAUGAGCAAUAUUAAUUGUUUAAUUGAUGUAAGAAAUUUAGAAACUGCCACAAAUCUUCUGGAAACUGUGAAUGUAUUUUAGAAUGGAUAAUUUUGUGUAUUACCUGGACUAUUUAUUGACUUAAUUACAUGCAAAAAGAUAACAAUGUUAACAUUUUCGCUGUUUUCUCAUCCAUUAACCAUGCUUACUGCUGGUAAAAAAAUUAACAGGUGCUAAAAAUUAAUGAAAAAUUAUAUACUUACUCUUAAACCUUGGCAUUAAUAAUAAAUCCCUGGGUUUAGAUAAAUCCAAUUAAAAAAAAAAAAAAAAUGCUGUAAAAUCUACCAAAUUAUGUUGCUAAUUCCCCCCUCCAGUGGAUUGGAGACCCUUUACCAAAAGGGCUUUAUGCAUUUAAAAAUGGAACGGGGGGAUUCAUGCAGCUAGGCCAAUAAGCAUGGUUACUCUUUGACCUUACACAUCAUGGAUUUGAGAUGCAUCAGUCCAUUUGUAUGCUGGUUAGAGCAUGUGGUAACCUCUAGACUAAUAUAUAUAUAUAUAUAUAUUCACUGCUAUUGUAUUCUGCUGUAAUCAGACCAGUUGAAAAAGCAAACCACCGUUGUUUUGCUGGGUAACCAGUCUAUAGCAGUGAUUGGGUAACCACUGGUCUGUAGCAUUACUGCUGCUCCAGUACAUAGAGACUCUAUAGGGGUCUAUUUCAUUACUGCCAAAACAUGUUUCAUAUGGGUAGUGCUUGGUCACCGAUACUUUAUUCUGCUAAUUUGCUAUAAGUGGAGUGCAAAAUCUCUGUGGUGGGUUAUGUUAAACCCACAAACUGUCUUAGAACUGUGAAACUUGGGUUUGAAUCCUGGUCAGACCACAUAACUCAACUCUCAGAUUGUAAGCAUGUUUGAGCAGGAACGUCUUCAAAAUAUCACACUUAUAUCAUAAAGCGUAGCAAAAUGUGUUGGUGCUAUGUAACUACCAAUAGUAACUUUCUUUGGGCUUUUGAGUUUAAUAUUCUUAAAACAUUUUAAUUGUAACCGCUUUAAUUAUUUUUAUCCUUUCAUUUUAAGGGAAAAGAGCUCUGGAUGAUAGCGAUAAUGAUGGCGAGCCUAAUGAAUAUGACUUGGAAGACAGCUUCAUAGACGACGAUGAGGAAGAGGAUUUUGACAACACUGAUGAAGAUUCUGAUUGGAUGCCAGAUUCAGAAGACAAGGGAAGCGAGGAUGUGAAUUUGCUUUUAAAGGAGGCCAAGAAAUUUGUAAAAGGGAAACCUUAAUAAACCUUACCGGCAUCUCAGUUUUGUUUGUUUUCUAAGUCUUUUAAACACAAGUGCUAUAAUAAAAUACCUACCGCUUCCUCCUUUACAAAACUCCACAAAGAUAUAUUAAUGUCAAUGUCUAUUUUGAUAUAUUUCUAAACAUAGUAUUUUAUAUAUUAUAGUUUCUGGUUCCUAUAUAUUUUAUUUUAUGAGGGAAAAGUUCUCUUGUUAAAAUUUUCCGUGAUGAAACGUUUCAAAUUUCCAAGCAUAUAUUUGUAUCUGAAUGUAAACGUUAAACAGGUUUCUCAUUUUUAAGGAAUGCUGGUGACUGCUUUUAUUUGGCAUGUGAAUAAAUGUUAUUUUAUUUUU